UCUCUCCUCAGCCGCGGCUGCCCACCAGCUGAACGCUAGGUGCGCCCUCCCGGAGGCAACCAGGAGCUGCUCCCAGCCUUUUCUUCGCGCGGCGCGGCCAUCUCCCACCCGCGCUGGGCCCCCAUUCGCCGCAACGCCUCAACCGUCACUGUUGGGCCAGUGUGGCUCCAGGUCAGCGGAGCCAUGUUCCUUCUUCUGGUCCUUCUCACCGUCCUCAGGGGACUGCACGGAGGCCCCAAUCUUCAUAAAAAGUUUGUGCAGACCACAAUUCCUGAAAAGAUUUCAACGUCUGAGGCAAUCAAAGAUCCAGGAAAUAAUGUGGCUUAUGUCAUUACAAUAGGAGGAAAUCCAUAUUUUGUCCAUCUCACAAAGCAG